rnacentral:rRNA from 1 species
UACGGAGGGGGCUAGCGUUGUUCGGAAUUACUGGGCGUAAAGCGCACGUAGGCGGUUUUGUAAGUUAGAGGUGAAAGCCCGGGGCUCAACUCCGGAAUUGCCUUUAAGACUGCAUCACUUGAACGUCGGAGAGGUGAGUGGAAUUCCGAGUGUAGAGGUGAAAUUCGUAGAUAUUCGGAAGAACACCAGUGGCGAAGGCGGCUCACUGGACGACUGUUGACGCUGAGGUGCGAAAGCGUGGGGAGCAAACAGG